GAUUUCUGGUUUGACGCACCUGGCCCGCCUCGGUUACGAGUGUGAGUGCCGGCGCGCGUCUGCCAUCCUUCUAAGGAACGGUUCGACUCUUUACUGGGCCGGGCUCGCGACUUAGAUCUAUUACUUUGAAAAAAUUAGAGUGUUUAAAGCAGGCGUUUGCCUUGAAUACAUUAGCAUGGAAUAAUAAUUUAGGACUUCGGUUCUAUUUUGUUGGUUUCUAGAGCUGAAGUAAUGAUUGAUAGGGAUAGUUGGGGGUGCUAGUAUUCAGUGGCCAGAGGUGAAAUUCUUGGAUUCACUGAAGACUAACUUAUGCGAAAGCAUU
rnacentral:rRNA from 1 species